AACGAGCGCUGGCGGCAUGCCUAACACAUGCAAGUCGAACGAGACCUUCGGGUCUAGUGGCGCACGGGUGCGUAACGCGUGGGAACCUGCCCUUAGGUUCGGAAUAACUCCCCGAAAGGGGUGCUAAUACCGGAUAAUGUCUUCGGACCAAAGAUUUAUCGCCUUUGGAUGGGCCCGCGUUGGAUUAGCUAGUUGGUAGGGUAAAAGCCUACCAAGGCGACGAUCCAUAGCUGGUCUGAGAGGAUGAUCAGCCACACUGGGACUGAGACACGGCCCAGACUCCUACGGAAGGCAGCAGUGGGGAAUAUUGGACAAUGGGCGAAAGCCUGAUCCAGCAAUGCCGCGUGAGUGAUGAAGGCCUUAGGGUUGUAAAGCUCUUUUACCCGGGAUGAUAAUGACAGUACCGGGAGAAUAAGCUCCGGCUAACUCCGUG
rnacentral:rRNA from 1 species